rnacentral:lncRNA from 8 species
AUGUUGUUGCGUCCUGCUGCGUUCAAGCUAUUAUCUUUAGGUUUCACGUUUAGGACAUCUGAUAUGGCAAAGGUUGAUAGAAGGCUUCUGUUACCUAUUCACUGUUACAAUUAUUGUUACAGAGGGAUCCGUUGGAGAGUGGCUUGGCCUUCCGCGUGGUUGACCUCACCAAGAGGUCCAAAUCGCAGCAGGUUCAACAACUCGUGGAGAAAAGCUCAGGAAAUAAAGAAAUGUUUUUUGGACUCAUGGGUCGAAGGUCCCCAAGUGGAGUCACAAGAGGAAUGGAACAAGCCCUAGUAUUACUAGAGAUGAGAUAUAACUUGAUUGUUCAAAGUUACUGGAAUAAUCAAUCUUGCUCAAAUUAUUCAUCUGGGUCAAAGCAAUCCAAUACAUGCAACAAAGUUUAAUUGAUGUAGCAUAAGUAAGGAAUGUGUAAUAAGGGUAAAUAAUUAUUUGACCCAUGUGUUUAAAAACUGGGGCAGGGAUUUGCUGCAACUAAUUGACAUUUUAUGUCUUCCUUAACUGUAUCUUUCUGUAUUCUCCUUUGCAAUACAAGCUGCUUGUCAUGUUCAAUCAAGUAUUUUUUUGUUGUUGCAUAAUAUUAGAUGGCUUGUUAUGCAUACAAACAGGUAUAUUUGUCUAACUUAAGAUAAUUCACACGAGAGCAUUACUGAACUUCAAGAUUCAUUAAUAUUUUCUGUGCUUCAUAUCAAAUACUGAUAAUUUGUCAGUGAACCCCUACACAUCUGUGGCAAUGGCUCAAUGCUGUUCAAAUUUCCUUAAUAAAAACAAUUUGU